GUAGGUGAACCUGCGGAAGGAUCAUUACCGAGUUCAUGCCCUCACGGGUAGAUCUCCCACCCUUUGUAUACCAUACCUUUGUUGCUUUGGCGGGCCGCCUAGCUACUGGCUUCGGCUGGUAAGUGCCCGCCAGAGGACCCAAAACCCUGAAUGUUAGUGUCGUCUGAGUAAAAUUUUAAUAUUUAAAACUUUCAACAACGGAUCUCUUGGCUCUGGCAUCGAUGAAGAACGCAGCAUCUGACUGACUCGA
rnacentral:misc_RNA from 1 species